AUCGAACGCUGGCGGCAUGCCUUACACAUGCAAGUCGAACGGCAGCACGGGGGCAACCUGGCGGCGAGCGGCGAACGGGUGAGUAAUGCAUCGGAACAUGUCCAUGUCGUGGGGGAGUAGCCCGGCGAAAGCCGGAUUAAUACCGCAUACGCCCGAGAGGGGAAAGGUGGGGACCGGCAAGGCCUCACGCGAUUGGGUUGGCCGAUGUCCGAUUAGCUAGUUGGUGGGGUAAGGCUUACCAAGGCGAUGAUCGGUAGCUGGUCUGAGAGGAUGAUCAGCCACACUGGGACUGAGACACGGCCCAGACUCCUACGGGAGGCAGCAGUGGGGAAUUUUGGACAAUGGGGGCGAACCCUGAUCCAGCCAUUCCGCGUGAGUGAAGAAGGCCU
rnacentral:rRNA from 1 species